GGCUGAAACUCAAAGGAAUUGACGGGGGCUCACACAAGCGGUGGAGGAUGUGGCUUAAUUCGAGGAUACGCGAAGAACCUUAUCCUGGUCUUGACAUGUUUAGGAACCUCGGUGAAAGUCGAGGGUGCCCUUCGGGGAGCCUUUACACAGGUGCUGCAUGGCCGUCGUCAGCUCGUGUCGUGAGAUGUCGGGUUAAGUCCCUUAACGAGCGAAACCCCUAUCCUUAGUUGCCAGCAAUUCGGUUGGGGACUCUAGGGAGACUGCCGGUGUUAAACCGGAGGAAGGUGGGGACGACGUCAGGUCAUCAUGGCCUUUAUGACCAGGGCUGCACACGUCCUACAAUGGUGCGUACAAAGGGAAGCAAAGCAGUGAUGUGGAGCAAAUCCCAUAAAACGCGCCCCAGUUCGGAUUGCAGGCUGCAACUCGCCUGCAUGAAGCCGGAAUCGCUAGUAAUCGCGGGUCAGCAUACCGCGGUGAAUAUGUUCCUGAGCCUUGUACACACCGCCCGUCAAGCCACGAAAGUGGGGGGCACCCGAAGUCGCUGAGCUAACUUUUAGAAGCAGGCGCCGAAGGUGAACUCCGCAAUUGGGACUAAGUCGUAACAAGGUAGCCGUAGGGGAACCUGCGGCUGGAUCACCUCCUUUCUAAGGA
rnacentral:rRNA from 1 species